GUAGAUGUAUGGGUCAUGUCAUGAGGUGUCAUAUAUUGUCAGAGGACACCCUUGUGGAGUCAGUUCUCUCCAUGGAACUUACGCUGUCAGGCUUGCGUUGCAAGUGUCUUUCCCUGUUGAGUGGUCCUGGCAGCCCCGCACUUGAGCACGUCUCAAGUUGCCAAAUGUCUCCCUCAGUCAGGACCCAGAGCCUGGAACUGUGCAGUAUUGGAUGUGGCUGUGUUCACUCUUAAUUUGGAGUGUUUCCCACAAGGCUUCUGUCAUUUGGGUGCUAUUGACAUUUUGACAAAUACAAUCUCUUUUAUGAAAUAAAAGUUCCUUACUAGACCGGCAUGCUAGCUUGCACUUUAAUGCCAGUACCGGACUGUGGGAAGCAGAGGUGGGAGGGUUGUCAUUGGUUUAAAGCUGGCAUUGGGUUGCAUAACCAGUUUCAGGCCAGACUGGGCUUUCAGAGUAAGGCACAGUUUCAAAAUCCAACCCAAACAAAUGCCAAAACACUCAACAAUCCUAUGCAUUUGGGUGUGUCCUUAUGAUCUAGUGCAUGCAUCCUUAGAUAUCACCUAUGUGAAUGAUGCUCUUGUCAUGAGUUCACUUUGGGGUACAGAAUGUCUAUCUGCCCUGUUCUAGGGACAUGGAGUUACUUUACAUGUCAGGAGCCCUUGGCUGUUUAGAGUCACAAGCUACCCAUCCUGUUCUGUAGCAGAGACCUAGGCUCAGCAUCUGCUGAUAUGGUCUAUCUAGAUCAGUCUUUCCUGCAAUGCUUGUCUGUGCUGUUGGUUCACUAUGCGGACCACUAUGCCUUCCCUUCUUCCCUGUUUGCUUAUCUGGUAUUAUCGGGUUUGCUUUGUGAAAUCCCUCCCCCCUUUUUUAUUUAUUUAUUUUUUUUUGAGACAGGGUUUCUCUGUGUAGCCCUGGCUGUCCUGGAACUCACUCUGUAGACCAGGCUGGCCUCGAACUCAGAAAUCCGCCUGCCUCUGACUCCCAAGUGCUGGGAUUAAUGGCAUGUGCCACCACUGCCCGGCUCCCGUUUUCUAAUUCAUUACUUUCUGGAUGUAUGUUGUUCAUGUGCCUCUGUGGUUUGGGAUUUCAAAUGUCCAGACCAGGACAGAGAUGAGGGUGGAAGGACUAUUACUUCUCUCGGCUUUCUUUUCCACACCUUAAAAAACAAAACUCAAGAACAUUUCAUUAUUUUCUUAUUUGAUGUUUUAAGCUUCUCUUGUACCUAGUCUGCCCAGGCCCCACCAGGAUUUCCUUCAAAGUCCUUGGUUCUUUGUAGUAUGGAAAUAUUUAAAGACUGAGUUCUGGCAUAGGGGUACUUUUUAUAAUUUACUAGUGCAUUUCUGCUUCGAGGUCUAUAGAAGUCAGCACUAGGAAGUCACUAUGUAUGCAUACACACACACACACACACACACACACACACGAGUCACUAUGUUUAUAUACACAUUUAAGACACUGUGUACAUAUACCCAUGUAAGACACUAUGCGUAUACACACAUGUGCUUACAUGUUAAGCAUCCAAAUGUAUAUAUACAAACAUGCAUGCAUAGAUAC
rnacentral:lncRNA from 1 species